rnacentral:rRNA from 1 species
GACGAACGCUGGCGGCGUGCCUAAUACAUGCAAGUCGAACGCACUGGGGACGGGUGAGUAACACGUGGGUAACCUGCCAUCAGAGGGGAUAACCCUUGGCAACAGGUGCUAAACCGAUACUGAUGUAGGGACCCGCGGUGCAUUAGCUAGUUGGUGGGGUAACGGCUCACCAAGGCCACGAUGCAUAGCCGGCCUGAGAGGUUGACCGGCCACACUGGAACUGAGACACGGCCCAGACUCCUACGGGAGGCAGCAGUAGGGAAUCGUCGGCAAUGGACGAAAGUCUGACCGAGCAACGCCGCGUGAGUGAAGAAGGUUUUCGGGUCGUAAAACUCUGUUGUUAGAGAAGCGGUAUCUAACCAGAAAGCCACGGCUAACUCCGUGCCAGCAGCCGCGGUAAUAC